rnacentral:lncRNA from 13 species
GGACUGUGGUAAAUCAGGGAAAGUAUGAUUAAAUGGAUCUGUAGCACAACAUCCUCUUUUCUCGAGCAAGCCAACCUCCCAAAAUGUAAAUACAUUAAAUGUCACUCUCAUUAAGUACACAUCAUGGAACUGCUAAGGAGGAUUAAGGAAGAGCAAUAAUCUUCAUCUUACUCUGAGUAACUCCUAAUGGUCAAUGUGACCUGGACUCAAAUUUUUAUUGAAGAAGGUGCUGAAAGCUGCAAUUAGGUCAGCCCUGAUCACCUUCAUGGGCUCUUCUGGAUUUGCUCCAGCAGUUCUGUGUCCUUCCUGUGCUGUGACCCCAGAGCUGGAUGUUGCACUGCAGGUUAUUGUGACCUUUUCCCCUGUUUUGGUAAGACUGAAGAAGUCCAUCAUGAGUCUGCUGAAAUUUAUGCACUCUACAGGCUUUUUCCUGCAGAAUGUUUUUUCAAAUGAAAGGGCAGAAGGAAGAGAACUGGUUCAGAUCCUGAUUUUUAACAUGCAAGACGGAAAGAGGUUGGGAUUUUAUAUGGGACUGAAGACAUUUCUUUUGGAUCUUUGGAAGAAAAAAAUGCUCUCCAUCUUCAUAGCAAAAAGGAUCAAUGCUGAAAUACAUAAGAAGAGAGGCUGUCCUGGAAAAGUGAGAAAGAGUGUGCAGAAAGAAACUAUGCCCAGAUGAAUCCACUGUGCCCUGUUUGGCAUAAAACAUAGGAGAAGCACAAAGGAGAUAUCAAUAUUUUGCUUCUGCUUUUUUUAAAGGAAAUAAAAUCCUAAUGAAAUAGAAC